GAUAGUGGCGAACGGGUGAGUAACACGUGAGUAACCUGCCCUUGACUCUGGGAUAAGCCUGGGAAACCGGGUCUAAUACUGGAUACGACCUUCUGGCGCAUGCCAUGUUGGUGGAAAGCUUUUGUGGUUUUGGAUGGACUCGCGGCCUAUCAGCUUGUUGGUGGGGUAAUGGCCUACCAAGGCGACGACGGGUAGCCGGCCUGAGAGGGUGACCGGCCACACUGGGACUGAGACACGGCCCAGACUCCUACGGGAGGCAGCAGUGGGGAAUAUUGCACAAUGGGCGCAAGCCUGAUGCAGCGACGCCGCGUGAGGGAUGAAGGCCUUCGGGUUGUAAACCUCUUUCAGUAGGGAAGAAGCUGGCCUUUGGGUUGGUGACGGUACCUGCAGAAGAAGCGCCGGCUAACUACGUGCCAGCAGCCGCGGUAAUACGUAGGGCGCAAGCGUUAUCCGGAAUUAUUGGGCGUAAAGAGCUCGUAGGCGGUUUGUCGCGUCUGCCGUGAAAGUCCGGGGCUUAACUCCGGAUCUGCGGUGGGUACGGGCAGACUAGAGUGCAGUAGGGGAGACUGGAAUUCCUGGUGUAGCGGUGAAAUGCGCAGAUAUCAGGAGGAACACCGAUGGCGAAGGCAGGUCUCUGGGCUGUAACUGACGCUGAGGAGCGAAAGCAUGGGGAGCGAACAGGAUUAGAUACCCUGGUAGUCCAUGCCGUAACGUUGGGCACUAUGUGUGGGGGACAUUCCACGUU
rnacentral:rRNA from 1 species